UUAUCACUUUGACAUCUGGCACCAGAGCAAAAACUUGCAAACCAUAAACAGCCUUCAGAGAAGGAACUUGUGACACAGACAGCUGCCGCCUCACAGCACACAGGCCAGGACUAGUUACACUCCCUGCGAAGGGUACAGAGACUGGAUUGGAAGAGAACACAGUAGAAGAGCCAUGCUGGGUUUUCAGCGUGCAUUCAGGUUGCUUAAUGCAACAGUGAGGAAACAGAUUGUUCCCAGAGCGAACCUUGCUUUUGGACCACCAGAGGAGAUUGUCACUCCAGUUGAUCAAGCCAUUGCACUGACUGUGAUGUUUGCAGUCUUCCUGGUCCCCUCGGGCUGGAUUCUGGCGCAUCUGGAGGACUACAAGCAUAAGCCUAGCGAGUGAGAGACAGGAGGGAGCUGCAUCCAGCCUAGUUUAGGAUGGGAAAAGGAGAAUACUGAACAAGCCCUUUCAUGGCAACCUGCCUUUUGAGAAUUUAACAAUUAAAACACCAUGAAAAAAGCAA